rnacentral:rRNA from 1 species
UACGGGGGGGGGCAAGCGUUGUUCGGAAUUACUGGGCGUAAAGGGCUCGUAGGCGGCCAACUAAGUCAGACGUGAAAUCCCUCGGCUUAACCGGGGAACUGCAUCUGAUACUGGAUGGCUUGAGUUCGGGAGAGGGAUGUGGAAUUCCAGGUGUAGCGGUGAAAUGCGUAGAUAUCUGGAGGAACACCGGUGGCGAAGGCGGCAUCCUGGACCGACACUGACGCUGAGGAGC